rnacentral:rRNA from 1 species
CCUACGGGUGGCAGCAGUCGAGAAUCAUUCACAAUGGGGGAAACCCUGAUGGUGCGACGCCGCGUGGGGGAAUGAAGGUCUUCGGAUGGUAAACCCCUUUCAUGGGGGAGCAAAUUAAAAAGAUAGUACCACAGGAGGAAGAGACGGCUAACUCUGUGCCAGCAGGCUCGGUAAUACAGAGGUCUCAAGCGUUGUUAGGAAUCACUGGGCGUAAAGCGUGCGUAGGCGGUUUCGUCAGUCGUGUGUGAAAAGCGCGGGCUCAACCCGCCGACGGCACAUGAUACUGAGAGACUAGAGGAAUGGAGGGGGAACCGGGAUUCCCGGUGUAGCAGUGAAAUGCGUAGAUA